UACGUAGGGCGCAAGCGUUAUCCGGAAUUAUUGGGCGUAAAGAGCUCGUAGGCGGUUUGUCGCGUCUGCCGUGAAAGUCCGGGGCUCAACUCCGGAUCUGCGGUGGGUACGAGCAGACUAGAGUGAUGUAGGGGAGACUGGAAUUCCUGGUGUAGCGGUGAAAUGCGCAGAUAUCAGGAGGAACACCGAUGGCGAAGGCAGGUCUCUGGGCAUUAACUGACGCUGAGGAGCGAAAGCGUGGGGAGCGAACAGG
rnacentral:rRNA from 1 species